AACAGCGUAAUUCAGAGGAAGAAUGCAAGGCUCAUAUUCUACUAUGUCACCUUGAAGUCGCUGGAUCGAAACCAGUCGCUGUUA
rnacentral:tRNA from 2 species